rnacentral:rRNA from 1 species
GGGUUAUAAUAAAUAAAACCUAAAGGCGUAAUUAACUUAACUAAUAUAUUUAUUUUAUAAAUAUAUAUGGGAUUAUUAUAUAUUUAAUAUUUAAUUAUUAAUAUAUAAUCCAUCCCGGGGCGUUCUAUAUAGUUAUGCAUUUUAUAUAUUUUAUAUAUUUAUGCCUCUAACUAGAGCGUACCUUUAGCAUAUAUGCUGUGACCCGAAAGAUGGUGAACUAUACUUGAUCAGGUUGAAGUCAGGGGAAACUCUGAUGGAAGACCGAAACAGUUCUGACGUGCAAAUCGAUUGUCAGAAUUGAGUAUAGGGGCGAAAGACCAAUCGAACCAUCUAGUAGCUGGUUCCUUCCGAAGUUUCCCUCAGGAUAGCUGGUGCAUUUAAUAAUUAUAUUAUAUAAUCUUAUCUGGUAAAGCGAAUGAUUAGAGGCCUUAGGGCCGAAACGACCUUAACCUAUUCUCAAACUUUAAAUGGGUAAGAACAUUACCUUUCUUGAAAUGAAGGUCGAUGUUGUGAUAUAUUGUGCCCAGUGGGCCAAUUUUGGUAAGCAGAACUGGCGCUGUGGGAUGAACCAAACAUAAUGUUACGGUGCCUAAAUUAACAACUCAUACUGAUACCAUGAAAGGCGUUGCUUGCUUAAAACAGCAGGACGGUGGACAUGGAAGUCGUAAUCCGCUAAGGAGUGUGUAACAACUCACCUGCCGAAGCAACUAGCCCUUAAAAUGGAUGGCGCUCAAGUUGUAUACCUAUACAUUAUCGCUAAAGCAUAUGAUAUAUUUUUUUAUUUAUUAUUAAUAUAUUUUGAAGCUUUAGUGAGUAGGAAGGUACAAUGGUGUGCGUAGAAGUGUUUGGCGUAAGCCUGCAUGGAGCCGCCAUUGGAACAGAUCUUGGUGGUAGUAGCAAAUAAUCGAAUGAGACCUUGGAGGGCUGAAGUGGAGAAGGGUUUCGUGUGAACAGUGGUUGAUCACGAGUUAGUCGGUCCUAAGUUCAAAGCGAAAGCUUAUAAAUAUAAAGUUAUUAUAAAAUAUAAAAUAUAUUUUUAUAUUAUGAACGAAAGGGAAUACGGUUCCAAUUCCGUAACCUGUUGAGUAUACGUUUUUAAUAAAAGUGGGCUAUUUAUUGCUCAUCCUGGUAACAGAAACAACCAUAAAGAAGCCGUCGAGAGAUAUCGAAAGAGUUUUCUUUUCUGUUUCAUAAUCGUAUUACCAUGGAAGUCUUUAGAAGAGAGAUAUGGUAAAUGGAUUAGAAGAGCAUGGCAUUUACUGCUGUGUCGAUAUUUUCUCCUCGGACCUUGAAAAUUUAUGGUGGGGUCACGCAAAUUUCUUAACAGGCCGUACCGAUAUCCGCAGCUGUCCCCAAGGGAAA